AGGGUGUAAACGCUGCAGACUUGGUGUUGGAAGUCCUUUGGGGGCAUUCAGUGCCGGAGAGAAGUUGUUAAGUCUGCUACUUGGGGAGUACGUCCGCAAGGAUGAAACUUAAAGGAAUUGGCGGGGGGAGCACCGCAACGGGAGGAGCGUGCGGUUUAAUUGGAUUCAACGCCGAAAAACUCACCAGCAGCGACUGUUACAUGAAAGUCAGGUUGAUGACCUUACUAGAUUUUCAGAGAGGUGGUGCAUGGCGUCAGUGACU
rnacentral:rRNA from 1 species